rnacentral:lncRNA from 1 species
AAAUAAGGUUAGUGUGUGUGUGUGUGUGUGUGUGUGUGUGUGUGUGUGUGUGUGUGUGUGUCAUUCAAAUUGCCUGUGGCCUGAGUACUGUGCUGAUUUCACACUUCUGAGGUGUUACAAAUUAUUAAUAUUCAAUUGGUUUCCAGUUAAACGCAAAUGAACCAAACAUAAGAACCUUCUUCACAUCAUCAUUUUCUUUGUUCUUUGGUUCUUGAACCAAAAAGGAAAACAUCAAACAGUUUUUCAUCCUAUCACGGCCUUACAGGAUCAAGAAUUGUCAAGCAGUGCAAAGAAGGCUGGACUGCAAAAACACUCCUCUUGUCUCUUGCCAGGUACAGCUCCCUAUUGUUUUUCUUUUCAUGUUAGAUUUAAGACAAGUCUUUCAGAAGACUGACAUUUCUGUAAUGAUAUCUUUGAUCUUUAUUACCCUUGUCUUCAUCCUGCCCUCUACAACUAGUACCAUUUGGGCCAUAUUUGAAGAUCAUAAGCAGAAAAGGGCUUUCUAGCACUAUGGAAUGAAGACAUUUUCACAGUCAGUCAAGAUGUCAGCAAACAGCAGAAUUUCAAUUUUGUCUGGAGCCAGAGGAAAGAUCUGGCAUCUGCUCUAUGGGGAUCGGUGCUUCGCAAGGACACAAGAGUUCAGAGGCCAGUCACAUCAUUCACCUCUUUUUGAACCCUUUGUCUCAAAACAUCCAGGCAGAUUUUUUUUUAUUCACUAAUGAUACCCCAACGGAGCGCAUGAUUCAAGGAAGGCUUUCACCCCAUUUGAAAAGGUCAGAGUUUUCUGCACUGGUUUUCUGGACUGGGGGCACUGUGCCCAAUGUCAUAUCUCUGAUGGUAAUAUGUUGCCAUGUCAUAAAUAUUCAUACAUUCAUAUAAAUGUGUUGACUUUGUUACACAGCAUUGUUCUGUUUUUAAAAAUCUGCACUACAUAUUAGACCUAAACUGGAAGGUGAUGACUGUUUACUUGGUCCAUUUACCAGGGGAAGUCAAACCAUCUUGUCACGACCGCUUGCUGAGGGGGGAAGGAAGCGCAGAGGCAGGACAUUCUGGGAAGGGGUUUUAUUAAUAAACAAACAAUAAACACAAAUAAAGAAUGGCUA